UACGUAGGGGGCAAGCGUUGUCCGGAUUUAUUGGGCGUAAAGAGCGUGUAGGCGGUUAGGUAGGUCCGUUGUGAAAACUCGAGGCUCAACCUCGAGACGCCGAUGGAAACCAUCUGACUAGAGUCCGGAAGAGGAGAGUGGAAUUCCUGGUGUAGCGGUGAAAUGCGCAGAUAUCAGGAAGAACACCCGUGGCGAAGGCGGCUCUCUGGGACGGUACUGACGCUGAGACGCGAAAGCGUGGGGAGCAAACAGG
rnacentral:rRNA from 1 species